rnacentral:rRNA from 1 species
UACGAAGGGGGCUAGCGUUGCUCGGAAUUACUGGGCGUAAAGCGCGCGUAGGCGGCUUUCUAAGUCGGGGGUGAAAUCCUGGAGCUCAACUCCAGAACUGCCUUCGAUACUGGAGAGCUUGAGUUCGGGAGAGGUGAGUGGAACUGCGAGUGUAGAGGUGAAAUUCGUAGAUAUUCGCAAGAACACCAGUGGCGAAGGCGGCUCACUGGCCCGGUACUGACGCUGAGGUGCGAAAGCGUGGGGAGCAAACAGG